rnacentral:misc_RNA from 1 species
GCCUAUACGAGGUCCUCGGCGUGAGCCGUGACUGCACCGCCGAUGAGAUCAGGUCCGCUUACAGAAAGCUUGCGCUGCAACGCCACCCUGACAAGCUGGUUCGAUCCGGCGUGCCGGAAUCCGAAGCAACAGCUGCAUUCCAGGAGCUCGUGAAUGCCUAUGAAGUUUUGUCGGACGCACGGGAGCGGGCUUGGUACGAUUCACA